rnacentral:rRNA from 1 species
UGGCGGACGGGUGAGUAACGCGUGGGUAACCUGCCUCACACUGGGGGAUAACAGUUAGAAAUAGCUGCUAAUACCGCGUAAGCGCACGGUUCCGCAUGGAACAGUGUGAAAAACUCCGGUGGUGUGAGAUGGACCCGCGUCUGAUUAGCCAGUUGGCGGGGUGACGGCCCACCAAAGCGACGAUCAGUAGCCGGCCUGAGAGGGUGAACGGCCACAUUGGGACUGAGACACGGCCCAA